rnacentral:rRNA from 1 species
GGCAGCAGUGGGGGAUAUUGCGCAAUGGGCGAAAGCCUGACGCAGCGACGCCGCGUGCGGGAUGAAGGUCUUCGGAUUGUAAACCGCUGUCGCGAGGGACGAAUAAGGGGCGGGCGAACAUCCCGCUCCGAUGACGGUACCUCGAGAGGAAGCACCGGCUAACUCUGUGCCAGCAGCCGCG